rnacentral:rRNA from 1 species
GCUGAUAAUCUAGCCCCCCUACAUCUAAUGAACUUAAAUACCUCAUUACAAAAACUAAAACAUUUUGUUAAUUUAGUAAAGGCGAUUAAAAGAUUUGUAGGAGCAAUAUAAAUAGUACCGCAAGGGAAAGAUGAAAUAAAAAUGAAAUAAAUACUAAGCCUAAAAUAGUAGAGACUAACUCUCGUACCUUUUGCAUCAUGGUUUAACAAGUCCAAUCAAGCAUAAAGACUUAUAGUUUGACCUCCCGAAACUAAGUGAGCUACUUCAGGGCAGCUUAUUGAGCGAACCCGUCUCUGUUGCAAAAGAGUGGGACGACCUUCAAGUAGGGGUGACAGACCUAACGAACUUAGUGAUAGCUGGUUACUCAAGAAAAGGAUUUAAGUCCCGCCUAAAGUCUUCUUAGUUUAUCAAAACAUGACUUUGACUUUAGAGUAAUUCAAAUAAGGUACAGCCUAUUUGAAAAAGGAUACAACCUAGACUAAUGGGUAAUACUUUAAUUUUAUAACUAAGUG